GCUGGAGCUUAGAGAGAAGAGAAGCGGUCCUCUUCAACCAUUCAGCUCCUCCUCCCGGGGGUGGGAACCCUAGUCAGGAGGCGGCCAUGUUGUUGUACGGAAAAGAACUUCCCGCUUUCGGAGGGAGCUGGAGCUUAGAGAGAAGAGAAGUGGUCCUCUUCAACCAUUCAGCUCCUCCUCCCGGGGGGUGGGAACCCUAGUCAGGAGGCGGCCAUGUUGUUGUACGGAAAAGAACUUCCCGCUUUCGGAGGGAGCUGGAGCUUAGAGAGAAGAGAAGUGGUCCUCUUCAACCAUUCAGCUCCUCCUCCCGGGGGGUGGGAACCCUAGUCAGGAGGCGGCCAUGUUGUUGUACGGAAAAGAACUUCCCGCUUUCGGAGGGAGCUGGAGCUUAGAGAGAAGAGAAGUGGUCCUCUUCAACCAUUCAGCCACUGCCUCCUUCAUUGCCCGCAGUUAAAACAACCAACAAAACAGACCGAGUUGUCUCCAGCGCGGGUCCUCCUCUCCCCCAGCACAAUCCAGAUGGCACUGGUGAAAAAUCUGCAUCCUCUCGGAUUAAAAUGCAAAGAGCAAACUCUUAGACUAGUUUACAGAGACUUCAACAACAAUACUAUAUGAUGACCAUCCUCAGCAACGAGAUCAACCAAAU